UGCCCAGGUGGCGGAAUAGGCAGACGCGUCAGGUUGAGGGCCUGAUGGGGUUAAUACCUCGUGCUGGUUCGACUCCAGUCCUGGGCAU
rnacentral:tRNA from 1 species